rnacentral:lncRNA from 1 species
AAUAAGACUUGGUUGGGUAUUUAAUUGGUCAUGUGGUACAAGUUUCAUCAGGAUAUCACUGGUUUGGGCUUCAUUGACAGGAACAUUGAGGUUGAUAGCUGUGGGGUUUUCUGGUGAAAUGUUUUCUGUUGUGGCAUUAAUAAGUGGCUGCUGGAAAAGUGACUUUCUAGUUGAUGAGGUAGCUGGUUUUGAGAUAAUCUCCAGGUCAAGAUGAAUUUCAUAGUAGCCAUAGUGGUUGUACAAGGACCACACUGAAAAAAGAUCAUCAUCACUACAAAUGUUAGUGCAGUCAUUAUCCCAUGGUUGUGUUAGAGUGAGCUUGAAUUUCUCUUCAAAGCUUAACUUCCUUUGCAACACCAUGUGCAUAACCCUAUUGACAAGGGCAAUGGUGCUAAUUUUCUCUAGAUCAAUUAUUCCCAUAUUAUGUGUCUCUCCCAUGAAUUUUACAAAUACAGUGGUUCGCUUAUCGUCAUCCUUAUCCAUCUACAAUUAAAAAAGAGCAUAAUGUAAGGCUAAGGCUAAGGCUAACUAUAUAAAAAUUUCUUUAAUAUUGGCAAAAAAAAACCAUGCACAUGUUGUAUAACAGAACAAGGCAUAAACACUAAAUAAACUAUAUUAAUGUGAAAAUUUAUAUAACCUGAUGUUAUUAACAACAGAAAGAAUCAUUGACACGCCGCACUAAUUGACAAUUUUCUUUAAUCAAAAUUUCACCUCAACAUCCAUGGAAUUAAAUUAAAAAACUAAGUAAAUGGAGAUGAACUUUACGUUCUUUAAUUAACGAGCUGGGGUUGCAGGCAAAGGAUAAUAGCCAAAGAUUCAAUUAUAAUAUACAGAUGGAGUACGAAAUAGGGAAAAAAAGUAAUGUAUAAACUUAAUGUAUCAUUAUCUAAUAAAUAUAGUUUGGAUCCACUGGAGUCUGCAAACCAUGACUUUAAUGUCUACAACAGUAAAAAGGCAUAUCCAGAACAAGUAUAUGCUCAUGUCAAGUAAUCAAUACUACUUGGGCAUUUAAAAAAUUAAAUACUCACCAUUAAACUAAUAUGAAGAAUCAAUUAUUAAGAUAUAAGAUGGAAGCAAUCAAUCUGUACAUUAUUGACAUAAAUUACCAAACAAAGCAUGUCUGAACAAUUUCAACACAAGAAACACGUAAAACCGAUAAAACCCAUGACCAACCUCAUCAAAUCCCACAUAAAUAUCACUCGCAUGCAUGUAAUCUAACAUGUAUCGAGUAAUUCUCCAACAAAAAAAUCCACAUGAACAACUUUAAAACCUCACCUCAAUGUGUGCAGGCUGAAGCUGCAAAACCCAGUAUAUCCCGCUCUCACAAUCCAAUAAGUUGUGUAAUCCUCAAGCUUCUUGAAAAACGAACAUGUGGUAGGUAAGAGAUCAAGCAAUUGGCGCGAAAUUGUCUCCAACACGCAAGAUUUUCCCUCCAUAUUGUUUCGAUAUUUGCUUGUACAGAUUACGUUUUGCAG